rnacentral:misc_RNA from 1 species
GAUGAAGAACGCAGUGAAAUGCGAUAAGUAAUGUGAAUUGCAGAAUUCAGUGAAUCAUCGAAUCUUUGAACGCACCUUGCGCCCUUUGGCCAUUCCGAAGGGCAUGCCUGUUUGAGUAUCAUGAACACCUCAACUCUUUAUGGUUUUCCAUGAUGAGCUUGGACUCUGGGGGUUUUGCUGGCUCACAGUCGGCUCCUCUAAAAUGAAUCAGCUUACCAGUGUUUGGUGGGUAUCAUGGGUGUGAUAACUAUCUACGAUUGUGGUUUUUCCACCAGGUAACCUUCAGCAGUGGAGGUUCGCUGGAGCUCAUAGAUGUCUCUCCUCAGUGAGGACAGCCCUUUGAAUGUUUGAUCUCAAAUCAGGUAGGACUACCCGCUGAACUUAAGCAUAUCAAUAAGCGAGGA